rnacentral:rRNA from 1 species
CCUACGGGAGGCAGCAGUGGGGAAUAUUGCACAAUGGGGGAAACCCUGAUGCAGCGACGCCGCGUGAGUGAAGAAGUAUUUCGGUAUGUAAAGCUCUAUCAGCAGGGAAGAAACCCACCCUCCGGGGUGGCUGGCGGUACCUGACUAAGAAGCCCCGGCUAACUACGUGCCAGCAGCCGCGGUAAUACGUAGGGGGCAGGCGUUAUCCGGAUUUACUGGGGGUGAAGGGAGCGUAGGUGGCAAGGCAAGUCAGAUGUGAAAACCCGGGGCCCAACCCCGGGGGUGCAUUUGAAACUGUCUGGCUAGAGUGCAGGCGAGGUAAGUGGAAUUCCUGGUGUAGCGGUGAAAUGCAUAGCUAUUAGGAGGAACACCAGUGGCGAAGGCGGCUUACUGGACUGUAACUGACACUGAGGCUCGAAAGCGUGGGGAGCAAACAGGAUUAGAUACCCCAGUAGUC